rnacentral:rRNA from 1 species
CGCCGCGUGAGUGAAGAAGGUUUUCGGAUCGUAAAACUCUGUUGUUAGAGAAGAACAAGGAUGAGAGUAACUGUUCAUCCCUUGACGGUAUCUAACCAGAAAGCCACGGCUAACUACGUGCCAGCAGCCGCGGUAAUACGUAGGUGGCAAGCGUUGUCCGGAUUUAUUGGGCGUAAAGCGAGCGCAGGCGGUUUCUUAAGUCUGAUGUGAAAGCCCCCGGCUCAACCGGGGAGGGUCAUUGGAAACUGGGAGACUUGAGUGCAGAAGAGGAGAGUGGAAUUCCAUGUGUAGCGGUGAAAUGCGUAGAUAUAUGGAGGAACACCAGUGGCGAAGGCGGCUCUCUGGUCUGUAACUGACGCUGAGGCUCGAAAGCGUGGGGAGCAAACAGGAUUAGAUACCCUGGUAGUCCA